CAAUAGCGUAUAUUAAAGUUGUUGCAGUUAAAAAGCUCGUAGUUGGAUGUCUGGCUCUCGCAGGAGCUGUCUGCCGAAAGGUAGCACGGCUCGGCGGGGCCAUCCUCUCGAGGACGGGGUGUGCCUUUAACUAGGUGUGCCUUUGGACUCGGGACCUUUACUUUGAAAAAAUUAGAGUGUUCAAAGCAGGCCUACGCUUGAAUACAUUAGCAUGGAAUAAUGGAAUAGGACUUCGGUUUCUAUUUUGUUGGUUUCUAGAACUGAGGUAAUGAUUAAUAGGGACUGUCGGGGGCAUUGGUAUUUGACUGUCAGAGGUGAAAUUCUUAGAUUCGUUGAGGACCAACCACUGCGAAAGCAUUUGUCAAGGAUGUCUCCAUUAA
rnacentral:rRNA from 1 species